UACGUAGGGGGCAAGCGUUGUCCGGAUUUAUUGGGCGUAAAGAGCGUGUAGGCGGCUAGAUAGGUCCGUUGUGAAAACUCGAGGCUCAACCUCGAGACGCCGGUGGAAACCAUCUAGCUAGAGUCCGGAAGAGGAGAGUGGAAUUCCUGGUGUAGCGGUGAAAUGCGCAGAUAUCAGGAAGAACACCCGUGGCGAAGGCGGCUCUCUGGGACGUGACUGACGCUGAGACGCGAAAGCGUGGGGAGCGAACAGG
rnacentral:rRNA from 1 species